rnacentral:rRNA from 1 species
GUGUCAGCAGCCGCGGUAAAACGUAGGAGCCAAGCGUUAUCCGAAUUUACUGGGCGUAAAGCGCGUGCAGGCGGUUCGAUAAGUUGGAUGUGAAAGCUCCUGGCUCAACUGGGAGAGGUCGUUCAAUACUGUCGGGCUUGAGGGUGGUAGAGGGAGGUGGAAUUCCCGGUGUAGUGGUGAAAUGCGUAGAUAUCGGGAGGAACACCAGUGGCGAAAGCGGCCUCCUGGACCAUUCCUGACGCUCAGACGCGAAAGCUAGGGGAGCAAACGGGAUUAGAAACCCCAGUAGUCC